rnacentral:rRNA from 1 species
GUGGGGAAUAUUGGACAAUGGGCGAAAGCCUGAUCCAGCCAUGCCGCGUGUGUGAAGAAGGCCUUUUGGUUGUAAAGCACUUUAAGCGAGGAGGAGGCUACCGAGAUUAAUACUCUUGGAUAGUGGACGUUACUCGCAGAAUAAGCACCGGCUAACUCUGUGCCAGCAGCCGCGGUAAUACAGAGGGUGCAAGCGUUAAUCGGAUUUACUGGGCGUAACGCGCGCGUAGGUGGCCAAUUAAGUCAAAUGUGAAAUCCCCGAGCUUAACUUGGGAAUUGCAUUCGAUACUGGUUGGCUAGAGUAUGGGAGAGGAUGGUAGAAUUCCAGGUGUAGCGGUGAAAUGCGUAGAGAUCUGGAGGAAUACCGAUGGCGAAGGCAGCCAUCUGGCCUAAUACUGACACUGAGGUGCGAAAGCAUGGGGAGCAAACAGGAUUAGAAACCCCGGUAGUCC